AAGUCGAACGAUGAAGCCCUUCGGGGUGGAUUAGUGGCGAACGGGUGAGUAACACGUGGGCAAUCUGCCCUGCACUCUGGGACAAGCCCUGGAAACGGGGUCUAAUACCGGAUAACACCCUCGCAGGCAUCUGCGAGGGUUAAAAGCUCCGGCGGUGCAGGAUGAGCCCGCGGCCUAUCAGCUUGUUGGUGAGGUAAUGGCUCACCAAGGCGACGACGGGUAGCCGGCCUGAGAGGGCGACCGGCCACACUGGGACUGAGACACGGCCCAGACUCCUACGGGAGGCAGCAGUGGGGAAUAUUGCACAAUGGGCGAAAGCCUGAUGCAGCGACGCCGCGUGAGGGAUGACGGCCUUCGGGUUGUAAACCUCUUUCAGCAGGGAAGAAGCGAAAGUGACGGUACCUGCAGAAGAAGCGCCGGCUAACUACGUGCCAGCAGCCGCGGUAAUACGUAGGGCGCAAGCGUUGUCCGGAAUUAUUGGGCGUAAAGAGCUCGUANGCG
rnacentral:rRNA from 1 species